ACCUUCUUUCGUUCUCUCGACUCGGUCCCAAGAAGCGUCUCUCUCUCUCUCUCUCUCUCUCUCUCCGCUUUUUCUAGGGUUUCAGAGCUCUCUCUCGAUCGAUAUCGGUCGAUGGCCACCUCCCACCUUCCCAUCUAACCUCCACGACCUCGAAUUCGACGGAUGUGACGACAUCAUCCGCCUCUCUGUCGAAUCCCCAAUUUCCAUCUCCUCCUUCUCCCCAAAUGAUGCAAUGCAACUAAUCCACAAAUUCGAUUUUGUUUCAACUCAUGUUGCUGACCCAACCCCCCACCUCCCUCUCUCACUGGUCUCUUCUCGCCCCAUGAAACCCUCGAUCUAUCUCCUAUCUAUAAUGGCGAUGUUGGUGAGAAGAUGAUGAUAUGAUCUGGUCCGUUAGUCUGCAUUUUCAUGGCAGCCAAACCCCGACAACAACGACCAGGUCAUCUCUCCAUCUGUAUUCUCCAUCUAUUCUUGGGGUUUUGGGGAAGUUGGUUUCAAAGGCAUUUAAGGAUGUAGAUGGUGAUUCGAGUACCAGGUCCAUCCGAUUGCGCAGCAAUCAAGCUAUGCUGGACAUCUUGCUCAAGCGGUGUUGGGAUGUUUCAGCCUAUUCAAGGAGUAAUGUUCUUCAGGUGUGGGCAGAACUAUGCAAAGAACAUGCUAUUUCAAUUGGUCUGUGGAAUGAUGUUGCUUCAGUUGCUUCUGGGAGAUUGGAGGAUAAGAGUGCAUUCGUGAGGAAAGCAGCAUUGAAUCUACUCGUCAUGAUGUUGCAGCAUAACCCGUUUGGUCCACAACUUUGCAUUGCAUCAUUUGAAGUGCCCUUGGAGAAAUACAAGGAGAAACUGGAAGAGACGGAACCCAAUGCACCUUCUGAGAGUGUUUUUGGACAGGAUACCUUUAGACAAUGAGACGUGUGAAGCAGAUGGAAAGGUUUAUCAGGCUGAAGUCAGAGCAGCAAGACAGUGUUACUGACAGUCGUUUGCCUGGUGUGGAAGAUGGGGUCAACAAGGAUUCUUCCACGGUGGAUUUGGGAACCUGGAGCAGACCAGGGCCUUGGUUGCAUCACUUGAGACAUGUUUGAGGUUCUCAAAGUGCAUAUCCUCCACAAUGCCGACUCUAGUCUUCAUCUUCUGCCACUGAUGUUGAGAACACGAUUCUUUUGCUGAUGAGGUGCAGACAGUUCCAAAUUGAUAACUCUGAGGCCUCUCUCCGGAAAAUGUUGCCACUUGUAUUUUCGCAGGACAAGUCUAUCCAUGCAGCUGUUGAGGAUGCAUUCAUCACAAUUUAUUUGACGAGAAACCCUACAGAAACUGCUGCAAAUCUAUCGAGCAUUGCUAUAGAAUCUAGUAUCGGCGAUCUAGCAGCUCUAGAAUUUAUAGUUGGUUCCUUGGUAUCUAAGGGGGAUAUUUCUACAAGCAAGAAGAGUAAGCCUUCAUCGAAAAUAAGCGAUCAUGAUAUAAAUUGUCAGGAAACUUUUGCUUAACGGGGAUGUGGGCAAUUGAUGAUGUUGGUUCUUUAUUAUUAUUAUUUUUUUUCUAUGGAAAUACUUGGGGAUGCAGCGGCAUUACGCUAUCAAAGCCCUUGAGAUAUACCGGAAAUCAGGGCAGCAGGCAGUUGUUCUCCUCAUCCAAUUUGUCCAUAUGCCCUUUAUCACUCACUACAUGCUGAUUUAAGUUGAAAAUUUUUGCCUAUUCGCCAUGCCUUAAGCUACUUCCCUGUUGCAGGCUGAAAGGUUGUCUAAGUUUUAUAAAGUAUGUAAAAUCCUUGAUCGUGGGCGUGGAGAAAAGUUUAUCAAGAUUGAGCAGAGAUCAGCAGCCUGUAGAUUUCAAAAAGGUUGAUGCCCAUGUUCAUCAGUUGAAGGGCAGCAGCUCCAGGUAUUUCACUCCAUCCAAAUAUCCAAUACAUCAUUCUUUUGUUUCCAUCUCUCUCAAGAAACCCAACUUCCUAAUUCUAUGACAAUCCUACUUCUUUGUUUAUUUUAUUUUUUUUCUGCUUGUUACAGUGGUUUUUUAUUUUCUUCAUAGGAAGCUAUUGUUUUUGUUAGGAUAAAUACCUGGUUCAUGAACUGUGUAAUGUUAAAUUUUGAUCUGGAGUGCAGAUUAGGAAAAUAGAGAAAGAUCUGUUAUGUGUUGUUUUUUAGGAGCAUG